UACGAAGGGGCUAGCGUUGCUCGGAAUCACUGGGCGUAAAGGGUGCGUAGGCGGGUCUUUAAGUCAGGGGUGAAAUCCUGGAGCUCAACUCCAGAACGUGCCUUGAUACUGAAGAUCUUGAGUUCGGGAGAGGUGAGUGGAACUGCGAGUGUAGAGGUGAAAUUCGUAGAUAUUCGCAAGAACACCAGUGGCGAAAGGCGGCUCACUGGCCCGAUACUGACGCUGAGGCACGGAAAGCGUGGGGAGCCAACAGGG
rnacentral:rRNA from 1 species